GCCCGGGUGGUGGAACUGGUAGACACAAGGGACUUAAAAUCCCUCGAAGCGCCGCUUCGUGCGGGUUCGACUCCCGCCCCGGGCACCA
rnacentral:tRNA from 1 species